ensembl:lncRNA
GAAACAGCCCGUUCCUGAGAGCUUCCUCUGUUGGGCAUGUAAAGAUGAAAGGGAGAUCACCUCUGGCAAGGGUCAGGUUGAUAGCGGUGGAGAAAGGUGAGGUGGGAGUUGAUGGCUGAAAGGUAAGCUGAGGCUAAUGCCCAUAGGAGAGCAGCCCACUUGUAUUUGCUUAAAGCAAAAGGUGUAAGCCAAUGCCACGCUAGCCUGAAAACAAAGGCAGCCUUUUGGCCAAAGAGAGUGUACUGCAUCAGUUUCUAGCUCUUCUGGACGUGAGGUUUCACGCCUCCAUUGCGGUGGGAGCUGUGAUGGGACUUGCAGUGUCUCUGGCUUCCCC